GACGAACGCUGGCGGCGUGCUUAACACAUGCAAGUCGAACGGAAAGGCCUCUUUCGGGGGGUACUCGAGUGGCGAACGGGUGAGUAACACGUGAGUAACCUGCCCUUGACUUUGGGAUAACUUCAGGAAACUGGGGCUAAUACCGGAUAGGAGCUCCUGCUGCAUGGUGGGGGUUGGAAAGUUUCGGCGGUUGGGGAUGGACUCGCGGCUUAUCAGCUUGUUGGUGGGGUAGUGGCUUACCAAGGCUUUGACGGGUAGCCGGCCUGAGAGGGUGACCGGCCACAUUGGGACUGAGAUACGGCCCAGACUCCUACGGGAGGCAGCAGUGGGGAAGAUUGCACAAUGGGUGGAAGCCUGAUGCAGCAACGCCGUGUGCGGGAUGACGGCCUUCGGGUUGUAAACCGCUUUCGCUCAUGACGAAGCUUUGUGUGACGGUAGUGGGUAAAGAAGCACCGGCUAACUACAUG
rnacentral:rRNA from 1 species